rnacentral:lncRNA from 1 species
AAACAACACGCUUCUCAACAAACAAUGGAUCAUUGAAGAAAUUAAAGAAGAAAUCAAAUAUUAUCUGGAGACAAAUGAAAAUGAGAACACGACAUACCAAAUCAUCUGGGAUGCAGCAAAAGCAGUCCUAAGAGGGAAAUUCAUCGCAAUACAGGCUCACCUCACUAAACAAGAAAAAGCUCACGUAAGCAACCUCAAACGACACCUAACAGAACUAGAAAAAGAAGAACAAACAAGGCCCAGAGUCAGUAGAAGGAGGGAAAUAAUAAAAAUAAGAGCAGAAAUAAACGAUAUUGAAACAAAAAAGACAAUAGAAAGGAUCAAUGAAACAUAUAUUUACCAUUGAUAUGGUUUCAGAUUCCACAUUGUAGCUAACUUUAAAGAAAUUAGCACUUGUUGAUUUUUGGUAUAGUAACAAAGAAGAAUUUCCGCAAUUAUCUGAAAAAGCAUUUAAGAUACUCCUCUGUUUUCCAAUUAUAUAUCUUAGUGAGGCAAGAUUUUCUUACAUACUUCAACCAAAAUGACAAAUUGCAACAGAUUAAAGACAAAAGCAGAGAUGAGAACCCAGCUGCCUUUUAUUAGGUCACACAUUAAAGAGAUUAGCAAAAUUAUAAAACAAUGCUACUCUUAUUUUUUGUUUUGGAAAAUAUAGUUGUCUUUUCAGUUAUACAUUAUUUAUGUUUACAUGUAAUAUGUUCAUCAUGUUAUUUUUGAAUGAAUGAAUAAAUAUUUUUACAAUUUCCUAGUUUUAAUUUCUAGUACAAUAAAGAUUGGCAGCUAUAACUCACAUAAUCAAAAGCCCUUCGGGUCCUCAAUAACGUUCAGAGUGUUACAGAAUCCUGAGACCGAAGUGUGAGAAGCGUUACGGCAGAAUUGAAGCUCUGUGCGGGCAGGGGGGACGUCUGUCUUGAUCACGGCUGUAUUUCACGUGGGAGAUAUUUGAAACAUGGCUGGCAAUAUUUGUUGAAAAAGUGAUUGACUGAAUGACUGUCUGAAUGAAUGAAUAACAUUCAAAAUGGGCCUUCCAUGGCAUUCUAGACAGAGGAAACAGUCUGAUAAAAAGACCAGAAUCAAGAAAGUAAGGAUUUUAGGAGAAUAGUGAGAAAUUAAGUCUGUAGAGCAGACUAGCACAGUGGAUAAGAAUUUAGACUUUGGACACAAACAAUCCUGAGUUCAAAUCCUGUUUCCAACCUUUACUAGCUAAGGUAAAUCAACCAUUCUGAACAUCAGCUUAUUAACUGUGUAUACUAGUGCAAGUUACUACUUCUCUAUGCCUCUAUUUCUUUAUCUGUAAAAUGAAGCUACCUCAAACGUUUGUGUUGACAGUAGUAAAGUGCCUAGAGUUGCAUUGCCCAACAUGGCAGCCACUAACCACAUGAGCACUUGGUAAGUGGCUAGUGCAACUGAGAAACUAAAUUUUUAAUUUUAUUUAAUUUUAAUUGAUUGAAAGUGAAGUUAAAAGUUUAAAAUUAAAUCAGUUUUGUCAAUAGGGAUGAGCAUAGAAAAAAAUGAUUAUUUGGUACUUGAUUCAGGUAUUGGAAAUCUUUUAAGCAUGUUUGGAACAACUUGGGUAUGUGAAUCUACUUUUUUCACUGUACUUUUUACAAUAUUUAAAUAUAGAUCAAGUAUUUCCAAUAAAAAUUUAGUGUCCAAAUUGAGACGUGCUGUAGGUGUAAAAUACACAAUGGAUUUCAAAGAUUUAAUACACACUAAAAAAGAAUAUGAUAUAUAUCAUUAAAAAGUUUUUAUAUUGAUUAAAUGCUCAUUGAUAAAAUACUUUAUUAAAAUCAAUUUCACCUAGUUUUUACUUUUUUAGUGUGGCAAUUAGAAAAUUAAAAUGACAAAUAUGGCUCAUAUUUCUAUUGGACGGUGGCUUAGCACAUUGUAACUGCUGUACAAAGUGUUAGUGACCCCUGUUUUAUUAUUAUUUAUACUAUAGAGAUAACAUUUAUCUUACAAAGUCAUAUAAGGACAAAAUGAGAGAUUAUAUUAAGCUCUUAGCACAGUGUGGGGCACAUAAUAAGGGCUCAGUAAAUGGUACCUAUCAUCAGUAAGUAGAGAGGGCAUCGUGUGUUCUGGGAUGAUAGAACUGCAAAGCUAGGUGGGGGCUGCAUGUUGUAUAAAGUUCUGAAAAUCUAGCUGACAUGUUGGAGCUUAAUUCUCUAUGCAACCGAGAGGCACUGAAGCGCAUGAUCCGAGGUGUGGCAGAAAGAUAAGUCUGACAGCAUGUAUCCUCCAAGGGCGGGUGUGAGUUUUGGAAACAGUUCUAAGUCAUUCAGAACGAAGUCUGCUGAGUAGGUUGGGUGAUCAAGCUGGGAAAUGCUGUCUGGGGUCACAAACCAAGUCGCAGCUUGAGUGAUGAGUCUGGUUUCAUGGGAAGCUCGUAAUCCAGCUUUGUGGGCAAUUCCGAAAGAGAAGUUUCACAGGCAUUUUUGAAAAGUGACAGACGGCAUCACUGGCUUAAGCAGAUCUCCUUCCGCUGUGACUAUUCCAAGAUGUGUACAUUUUUGUGUGUUUAUACAAUCAAGCAAAUAAAUGGUCUCAUUAGAUUUUCAUUUCUUUGUAUACUCCAGAUAAAGGGCUGCUUUGUUACAGCUUUUAUAAAAACAUUUCCUGAUCUCCAACACCUGCUCAGUCCUGCAAGUUCCUCUUUUGUAUAAAUAAGCUCAUCCCUCCCUAGGAAAUACCCAGCUACUGAAAUAAAAUCCAUAUCCUUUCCUCAGUACGGCCCUAAAUCCAGGCAAAAGAGGCCCUGUCCUAGGCCCCACACCUUUGAGGGUUCUGGGAUGGCCCCUUUCUGUUGCACUCCUCUCCUUUGUUCUCUAAAGCUGCAUAAAAAAAAUCACUGCAAAACUUAGCGGGUUAAGAUGGCAAUGACCAUUUAUGUCUUUCAUGGUUUCUGUGGGUUGUGAAUCCGGCAGUAGUUUAGCCGAGUGGUUCUGGUUAGGGGUCCCUCGUGAGGUCAUAGUCAGAUGUUAGGUGUGACUACAGUCAUCUGAAGGCUUCACUUGGUCUGGAGGACAGACUUCCAAGGUGGUUCGCUCACAGAGCUGGUAAGUUGGUUUUGGCUGCUGUCAGCAGGUCUCUCCAAGCAGAAAAUGAAAGAACUUCAUUAUGUGAAUAGAAUGUGCACCAAUAAGGCAAGAUGCUGAGCUCAGUUCUCCAGUUGGCUCAUGAGGCAGAGUGUAACUUCUUUCUUUUCCUGUUUCUGAUAUAGGGAAGUUGGUUUCAAACAGGUCCAAAAUUGGUUGCCUAAGCUUCCUGUGGGCCUGG